rnacentral:misc_RNA from 1 species
AAUACUCAGGGAACAUUAGGAUACCAAUGGUGGCGGACUACAUUAUCACUUACCGAACCAUUAGCAUGGAAAUUGUCCAUUAGGGCGACCAGGCACAGUGGUUAUUUGACCAGGCGCAACUGAUCGGCAAAAUAAAUCAUCCUGCACAUCAAGCUUUGUAUUAUCGUCGAAAACCAUGAGGCUUAUCGCGGAGUCUGAAAAGAUCAGAAGGUCUUUGAAUCCAAUUUUCAUCUCUUCUUGGAUAUUCGGGGUGCCACGUAUCAGUUACAAGUACACUCAUCGCUUGAUGUACUCGGUAUUAAUCGCGGCAAUUUUUGCGGCAACUUUCAUCGUGUCGUUAGACGUUCGAUGGAACGCCGCCAUGUCCUACAAUCAUACGUACGCCACGUUCUACGGCGUUUCACAAAUUGUCACAUUCGUGGGCGGUAUUGGUACGAUCAUAUUUUGGGUUGCCAGUGGCGCAAAAGCUUUGGAUGAUUCGAUCGUGGAGCUGGGAACGGUGGAUGUCGAAUUGAGGGAUAUCGGCAUCGAAGUCAAACACCGAGACGUAUAUCGCAGGCAGAUCAGAUUGCUCGGUUCGUUCUCAACGAUAUGGCUGGUCAUCAUCGGUCUGCACGAAUACAUAUUUACUGCUAUCGGGAUCAACGAUAAAAGCUUGAUAUUAAAAACUUGUUGCCUUUCGUACAGCUCCCACGUUCCUCACUUAAUCACAUUAUUCAGUGAUCUGGUAUUCUCCACAAUAAUGUUUACCUUCUAUGAAAGAUUCCAAUUGAUCAAUCGUGCUUUGACCGAAAUUGCGAAAGACCGGGAGCAAUCAAACGAUGGAAUAAUUGCUGUUCCCAGUAUUCAACCUCUGAGAAAUCGACGUGAUCUUCCGUUCAGCAAUAAGGUGAAUCGGAAUUUGCAGGAAUCGUUAGAGAGAAUCGAUCGGCUUUACAAGGUUCAUCGGCAGCUUUACCUAAUAACGGAAAAGCUCAGUGUGAAUUUUUCAUGGCAGCUCUACUUUACGGUUUCGACAACCUUUUGCCUCCUCGUUUACAGACUCCUCGCAUUGUACACACUGGUUUUCGUCCCGUUGUCGGUGCUCGGAAGUAGGAUCGGUCUAUCGCUCCUCUGGGUCUUCUAUCUCAUGCUCAAAUUCUGGGUGAUCACGUUGAGCUGCUGCAACACCAUCACCGAGGUGAUUCGAAGUCCAACGUUUGACGCGUUGUUUGGUGUUUUACAACGAGAGUAAAAUUGAAAACAAAAAAAUUGAUCACGUUCCAGGCAAAUACAUUGGGAAUCAUUCUCUACAGAAUUACGAUCGAUACUGCACAGAUACUCGGCCCACCUCCUUCAGAACGAGCUUCGUAUCACG